CCUACGGGACGCAGCAGUGGGGGAUAUUGCACAAUGGGGGGAACCCUGAUGCAGCGACGCCGCGUGUGGGAAGACGGUCCUCUGGAUUGUAAACCACUGUCCCCAGGGACGAAACUGACGGUACCUGGGGAGGCAGCUCCGGCUAACUACGUGCCAGCAGCCGCGGUAAUACGUAGGGAGCGAGCGUUGUCCGGAAUUACUGGGUGUAAAGGGAGCGUAGGGGGGGAUGCAAGUUGGGUGUCAAAACUACCGGCUCAACUGGUAGUCGCACUCAAAACUGCAGCUCUUGAGUGAAGUAGAGGCAGGCGGAAUUCCUAGUGUAGCGGUGAAAUGCGUAGAUAGUAGGAGGAACACCAGUGGCGAAGGCGGCCUGCUGGGCUUUUACUGACGCUGAGGCUCGAAAGUGUGGGGAGCAAACAGGAUUAGAUACCCUUGUAGUC
rnacentral:rRNA from 1 species